rnacentral:pre_miRNA from 1 species
AGUGGAAUUGUUGGGUUAAAUGGUAUGUUUAACUUUUUAAGAUACUGCCAGACUGUUUUUUCAAAGUGGCUGCACCAUUUUACAUUCCCUCCAGCAGU